rnacentral:rRNA from 1 species
UACGUAGGGUCCGAGCGUUGUCCGGAGUUACUGGGCGUAAAGCGUGCGCAGGCGGUGAUGUAAGACAGAUGUGAAAUCCCCGGGCUCAACCUGGGAACUGCAUUUGUGACUGCAUCGCUGGAGUGCGGCAGAGGGGGAUGGAAUUCCGCGUGUAGCAGUGAAAUGCGUAGAUAUGCGGAGGAACACCGAUAGCGAAGGCAAUCCCCUGGGCCUGCACUGACGCUCAUGCACGAAAGCGUGGGGAGCAAACAGG